rnacentral:rRNA from 1 species
CGCGUAGGUGGUUUGGUCAGUCAGAUAUGAAAGCCCUGGGCUUAACCUGGGAAUUGCAUUUGAUACUGCCAGACUAGAGUAUGGUAGAGGGAAGUGGAAUUCCGGGUGUAGCGGUGAAAUGCGUAGAUAUCCGGAGGAACAUCAGUGGCGAAGGCGGCUUCCUGGACCAAUACUGACACUGAGGUGCGAAAGCGUGGGUAGCAAACA